GACGAACGCUGGCGGCGUGCUUAACACAUGCGAGUCGAACGGAAAGGCCCUGCUUGCAGGGUACUCGAGUGGCGAACGGGUGAGUAACACGUGGGUGAUCUGCCCUGCACUUCGGGAUAAGCCUGGGAAACUGGGUCUAAUACCGGAUAGGAGCCAUUUUUAGUGUGAUGGUUGGAAAGUUUUUUCGGUGUAGGAUGAGCUCGCGGCCUAUCAGCUUGUUGGUGGGGUAAUGGCCUACCGAGGCGGCGACGGGUAGCCGGCCUGAGAGGGUGGACGGCCACAUUGGGACUGAGAUACGGCCCAGACUCCUACGGGAGGCAGCAGUGGGGAAUAUUGCACAAUGGGCGCAAGCCUGAUGCAGCGACGCCGCGUGGGGGAUGACGGCCUUCGGGUUGUAAACUCCUUUCGCUAGGGACGAAGCUUUUUGUGACGGUACCUAGAUAAGAAGCACCGGCUAACUACGUG
rnacentral:rRNA from 1 species